GACAAAUUUCCUCCGAACCCCUCCAACGGUCGACCUUCCACAGUGUUCUCCAAACUUCUCCAGCGGACGAACUUCCACAAUGCCUUCCAAACUCUUCUAUCGAUCAAUCUUCUAUAGCGCCUUUCGAAUUCCGCUAUUGGUCGACCUUCUGUCAGAUUUCUCAUGCAACCAGACAUCUCCAACGGACAGUCUUCAGACAAGCUUCUAUAUCAGAUAAAU
rnacentral:lncRNA from 1 species